CUGGGUCGAUAAAGACCCGAAUAUGUAAGAAUGAUUGGCGAAACAGUCAUGCAUUUAAGGGUUAAAUGUACUGGCGAAGAGAUAAACAUGGCGGACUGUGUACAGCUCACUCAGGGGAGGAGCUAAGAUAAUAGGGCAGAUUUCGUCGCCAGUCAUGGGCGGGGCCUGUUUCAAUGUGAUGUCACAUUGGAGUACAUUCCUGGACAGCUCGUUUUGAGACACUGUUUCAGAUUUAUGGGGAACAUAACACAGUGAAUGGAUUUUUACCACAAUAGGGUGGUUGUAUACACACACUGUGGACACAUAAAUAUGUUCAAAAACAAUAUAAAAGUGAAUUUUGCAUAAUAGGUCCCCUUUAAAUUGGGCACUGUGUUUUAGAACGUCGUGUCAUGCGCGAGAUGCUGCGAAAAACACAAGUGCAGUGGUCAAAGACAUCAAUCUAAAGUGUGCUUAAAUAGAAAAAAAAUGGAAAAUGCAAAAACAUGUUCUGUGUGAAUGAUACCAUACGUUUAUGGUAUUUUUUGUCAUUUUAGAGUUUGACAGCUCUAGUCCAUAUUUAUUGUAUUAAAAAGAGUGAAAAUGAUGUUCUUCAAAAAAUCACUUUUUGUAUAAACCACAACUCAGAAUUAAUUAAUUGAAGUAAAUAAUGGCAGAAUUUAAAUUUUUGGUUGCACUACCCCUUUGAGUUUCUUCUGAACUAUCCAACAAAACAAAGCUGAAUUAAAUGAGAUAUAAUUAGGGAAUAGUAAUUCCAUUCGUGCUGCUUAGUUAGUGACUUGCAUUAAGGAGAAAGAGCUGAAAAAAUAUGUAAUGAUAUUCCUCCCUAGUUGCUUGUUUGUGUUUAUGUCUAGGAGCCGAGCAAAGCAGCAGGACGAUAAGGGAGAAAAACGACAGCGCACACUGUGGCGUCAGGAGCACAGAGACGUCUAUAAACUAAAAGAAGCACUGCACUGUCGGAAUAUGACAGCCAAUCCAUCAGGGAAAUGGAAGCUCUGUCUACUGCACCAAGGAGAGAGUGGCCAGAACUUUUAUAAAUAGUCACGCAUUUUUAAGGGAAAUUGAAAGUUGUCAGACAUAUGCUUUCCAGUCUUUCUGUUGAUCAUCCAAGUGGCCGCGUUGGCUGAAUAUGAUUGAAACAUCAAAGCAUACAAAGUAGGAAGGUUGAAGGCUACAUGGGACAUAGGCUAGUGCAUGGAAGGACACGUAGGAUGAUUUUAUUUGUGGCCUUCUGUCUUAGAGCAGGGUUUUCCAAACGGGAGUUGAUGAAUAGUUAAUAAUUAAUUAAAUCGAAUGUAACAUUAAAACUAACAAAUGGGGCUGCACAAUUAAUCUAAAUUAAACUGAAAAUGCUAUAUAUCUUAUCAAAUUGUUGUACUAGUGAAGAGCGACACUGUGUUCAUUUACAUGCAUGCAGCUUAUAAUGGAGCAGCUAUUACUUUGUGUUCCCUUACAAAAGUUUUGCAUUCAAGAAACAUUGUGUUCCCUCGCAAAAGUUUUGUGUUCCCCGAGAAACUUUGCGUGCGCUCGCAAAGAACUCAAAAGUUUUGCAAGUGAACACAAACAUUUUGAAAGUUUUGAAAGUUUAUCAUGGGAAUGCAAAACAUUAAGACACAAUUUUUCUCAAUCUCAUUUUUUUACGAGUUUAACAUGCAUUUGGGAAUUAAACGUGCGCUAGGUUUACCUUAUUUGCAUUCACAUAAUAUUUGCAUAAUUUCAGAUUUUUUUUUUGGACAGAAAAACACUUACUAUAUAUAUUGUGUGUUUACUUGCCAUGCGACUAUUAACAGACAACAGAGAACCAUGAACCAUGUCAUUAAAUUAUUAAAAUAUUAACCUUACACCGUGUCCUAACCAGACGCAAUGUGAUGCCGCGACACGCAAUAAAAGGUAUAAUUUCCAUGUUAAUCGGAGUUUUUGUCCUAACUAGUCGCAAAGGCGAUACGCGACGAUUCUAUAGUAACGGUUUCUAUUUUUCUGAGACGUCGCGGCUGGAAAAACACUUGUAUGAUAAUGAUAAUCCCACGUGCUGUUUAUGUGCUUUAUUUAAUGUUAAAAGCGUCUAAUGUGAGUUUGAAUAUCAUUUUGUGUGUCUGUUAUUGCCGUACUGAAAGCAACAAUGGACAAUUCACCUCAGAUCUUCGAAACAAAUAAAAGGAAACAUGAACGUUCAAAUUGUCAACUCAUUGUGAACAGACAAAUGUAUUCUUCAACAAAGAUUGUUUCAGUAACUCAGUAUGUAUUUUUUAAUAAUGUUAAAAUGUAAUAUUUAUGAAUUUGAUUAUGUACUUUCGUUGAGAGUGCCGGGAAUUGGCCGAGAGAGCCCGCCCACGCGCUCUUCUGAUUGGAUAUUUUAUUGACUUUAUCGCAUCUCAUAGUCGUGUUGCGACUCUGGUGUGGACAGACAAAUUGUUUGUCGCUGGAAUCUUAUUGCAUCGCGUCUAGUUAGAACACGGUGUUACACCGUGUCUACACCGGACGCGACAGUUGUCGUGUCACGCCGCAGCAGCUUGGCUGUCUACACUUGACGCGACAAUGCGGAAUGUGGAAGUCUUUUUUUGUUUAUAACGUUGUUUUUUUUUUGUUUUUUUACAAUUCAGCCAGGAAGUGAGGACAACCAGGCACAAUAUGGUCCCGGGAUACAGCUGGUCAAGAUAAAAUAGAAUCAGGGUCUAGACAUAGUCAAGAAAAGGCGCCAAAGGAGAUGUUUACCAGACAGACAGUAUGAGCUGCUCUCUUUCAUACAGUGAAAGGACCAUGAUAAAAGUUCCUUAUGAUUCAUACACCAUAUUCCAAGUCUUCUGAAGCCACACGGUAGCUCCGUGCGAGAAACAAAGGCCACACGCUCCAGUGAAAGAGUUCGCGAGGAAAAGCAAUGGGCACCUCAGCAAAGAUAAACGAUGGCCAACGUGCUGACAGAUAUCUGCAGCAGAACAGUUUCUCAAGAUCUCCGUGCGACUCCUCUGUGGGUUUCUUCAUUUACAGCCUCUCAGCCCAUCACUGAUUUUGUCACUUUAUUAGAUACUGAAUAGUCCUGAUGUAAACUUAAAACAGUGAUUAAAGUGUCUUUUAUAAUAAAGAUACUUCAUAUUUUAAUUCAUUGUUUGUAAUCUGAUAUUUAGUCAAUCUGAACUUUACCAUUUCUCGAGUUUUAAGGUCCCAGACCGGAAUUCAGUAUGUUCAGUAUAUAUUAUGAGAUAUUAUUUGAAUUUAAAACAACUUUUUUUCUAUUUUAAUAUAUUUUAAAGGGGACAUAUCAUGAAAAUCUGACCUUUUCCAUGUUUAAGUGCUUUAAUCGGGUCCCCGGUGCAUCUACCAACCUAGAAAACUUGAAAAAGGACAACCAGUAACUUUAGGUAACUAAAGUAAGCCUUUCUGUGCAAGCAUGUGAAACAAAGGAGCCACACAGAACGAUUUUGCUCCCCUAGUGACGUAGGAAGGGGAUCUUAUUGUAAUAUUACCGCCCCAUAAUCUGCUCGUUUCCACCCACAGUGCCGCCAUUUUGUUUUCGCAAGCGACAACGGUGUACCGGUUUCCACUUCUUCAGAGAAGGAAGAGUUGUUGUAGUAGAGUGUUGUUGCCAUGCCAUCAUUUUACGCCGGACUGCUUCCCAAAC